UACGUAGGGUGCAAGCGUUGUCCGGAAUUAUUGGGCGUAAAGAGCUCGUAGGCGGUCUGUUGCGUCCGCUGUGAAAACUUGGGGCUUAACCCCGAGCCUGCAGUGGAUACGGGCAGACUAGAGGUAGGUAGGGGAGAAUGGAAUUCCCGGUGUAGCGGUGAAAUGCGCAGAUAUCGGGAGGAACACCGGUGGCGAAGGCGGUUCUCUGGGCCUUACCUGACGCUGAGGAGCGAAAGCGUGGGGAGCGAACAGG
rnacentral:rRNA from 1 species